GCCGCCGCCGCCGCCAUUUUGUUUCCUCGGCACAAUGGGGGAGAGUAACGGCCGAGCGCGGGAGCGAGCCUGGCGAAGGAGAAAUGAACCAAGCGCUGAAGCGAGAGAACCGGCCGUAGGCGGGAAGCGUGGGGCGCCUCAGGCCUUGUCAUCGAGACCCCUCAGUCCGGCCCGCGCUGAGUGGGAGGACUGGCGGGGGGAGGGGCAGAGGCGGGAGCGGGCCCGGCCGCCGCCACAUUGACGCUUACCUUGUCGGCGUUCCCUUCCCCGACCGCAACCGCCGCCGCCGCCCUCCUUCCACAGCCCGCCGGGGUCUCCCCCCAAAAGCCACGCGGUGCGCACCGGGCUGCUGAGUCCAACUGCAAUGGCGAGAAGAGGAGGAGGAGGAGCCGGGGCCGGGGGCGAGCUGGCGGGCGGGCGCGCGCCGGGGAGGUGCGGGCCACGUGAUCGGUUGGAGCCCCGCCCCCUGCCGCCGCGUUGCCGCUUGACGCAGGCCCAGCCGGGGAGGGAGGGAGCGACGAAAAGAGAUAAGGCUGUGUCAUGUGACUUCUUCGCCGCUCUUUUUUUUCAAUGGCGGUUUUGAGCGGUGUAGCCACGUGAUUCGGGUCGAGGGGCGGAGUCUCCCCAGCUGCGAAUCUGUGCGCCUGCGCGGCUGCCAUCUUACGCCGGUCGCUCCUGUGUACGUUGGCGGAAACGGCUCAGAGAGCCUGGCACGUGAGUGUCCUAUUAGCGGCCGGAUUACGGUCUUGUUCGGGGAGGUUCGUCCUAUGUCCGAGGUUUCCUGGCAGAGCUUCGUCCCCUCUCCUUGCAUUUCUUGCUAGAGGCCGAGGAGACCCGAGGUGCAGGUGUCAGCAGCGGCGGGACAGCUCUUGUUGCUGCCCCGGGAUCGGCGCUGGUGAGCGCUCCAGUUCUUAGGUCCCACCAACCCCCAGUGUAGGGUCCGGUCGUCUUGCCGGGCUGGGCCUCCGAAGGGCAGAGCCGAGCUGCUCGGGAUCGUUUAGUCUCUCUUUGACAGGUGGAGAAGCUGAGGCCCAGUUGGAGGAUUCAUAUCCUGCCUGUGAGAGCCGGAUCUGCGAGUCACACGCUCGGCCAACCACAGUCGGCGUGGUUGAAUAAAGCCACCGGGGACCGAGCGCCUUCUCUUUUUCCAGCCCAUUGUUGAGUACUCCCGGGCGUUUCGUGAGAUCCCCGAUGUACAGAACGAUUUGUGCCUAAAGUAAGCCACGCUCCCUUCCAGUAUCAGAAUCAAGCUGGCGCUUGAUAGACGUCUUUAUUAGGCACGUUGUCAUGAGCGAGGCUGUUGUUCAGAAACUGCCGGGACUCGGAACGAGGAAUUAAAAGGUUUCCUUCCUGAAAGUGAGAAGUCGUUCAAGGCUUUCGGCGUAGUGAUGGAUUUUCCUGGCGAAAACGUAGGGACGUAAGCUCCUUUGUUAAGGAUGCAAGACCCAGUAUCUGCUCUAGGUUUGAGUUCCCCCGGUGUGACCAAAACAAGCCCACGUCUCUGAGUCUCCGUUUCCUUACUUAGAAAAUGGUGACGAUUUUUCUUUAAAGCUCUUAGCACAAUUCUGUGUGCGGAAUAAAUGCCUCAAUGGUAACUUAUUAAAAAGGUAAGAUGUAAAAAUAUAGUUACAGAAAUGGAUGCAUACUAUAUCUACCGGUUUUCUUUUCUAUUUACGUUUUAUUUGCAAUUUUGAACAUUUAACGUGUUCACCUGAUACAAAAUGUUAAAUGUGCAAGAGUCUGAGAGGACAAAAUCAAUUUCCUCCUCCUUGGCAGCCAGUGUUGGAUUUUUUUGCUUAUCUCUACAACGAUGUUUUAUUCACAGAGACGUGCUUUUUUUUUCUUUUUUGCUGAUUUUCACACAAAUGGUAGAUAAUCUGCAUCUUGCUCCCCCCGCACACACACUUGGACAUUUUUCCUAAAUAGAGCUUGAAGCUGAA